ACACUUUACUUUUUAUAUUGAGUUCAUGAAUAUUCAAAAGGUUCUUACUUUAAAUUACGUAUUUGAUUGGUCAUUGUGAUUUCGCGGUCAAUUUAUAUUUGGUAUUGACCAGGUAUAUUUUGCACGGGAACUUGAAAAUUACAGACGCAUUGUAUUGUAUCCCGAAUUAUUACCUGUUAUGUUUUCAUUCAUUGUGGACACAACAUAUUACAUAUUGAUGACUCCAUUGAUGUAAUUAUAUACAGAGUAUACAUUGUGAACUGUGCCUUGUCCUUGCCAGUAAGAACUCACUCCACAAGUGAGUUUAUUUUUAUACUACUGGUAUAAUAAAUAAUCCGAACCCUACACAGAGUUUGUUAUAUCUUUAUCCAAGAAUCGACCCUGUUACAAAAUGGCGCCCAACGUGGUUUAAUGGAUUGAUGGCACAGUAAGAUUAGGGUACCAGUGUGUGUGUGUGACCACCGAAGCAGACGACAGACGAGACCACGUGAUGUUUGUUUACCAACAAUGCGCAGAUGUCCAAAGACGCACGUGCCAGUGUUUACAUCCGUUGAUGUCCACAUGUGUUUGUU